AUGAAACAGACCAGGAAACUGAGGCCGAGAGAGGGCACGGGACCUAUCCAUCGUCCCGCUGCUAGGACCAAUUUGGGACCAGGAGUCACACUGACAUCCUCUCUGCACAAACUCUAUGUUGUUUCAAGUGAGUGAGAAGUCUUCCCACAGAGGACUCAUCAUAGAGAACGUGUUUCACGUCCGAUUUCCCUGUGACGCAUUUCCUCACCAGGGCCUCCCAGCACCGGUCCUAGCGGCCUGGGGACUCCGACUCUUCCAAGGUAUGCAAAACCAAAACCAGCUUCAUGACAGCGUUAAGCGGCUCUUUGCCAUUGUCCCUGUUCCUCUCCGCAGUGUGCAGUAGAGUUUUCCAAAGACCGUAAGACAGGCGGUGCAGCAACAGACUGCAGAAGCAGAUGGUGUGACGCCUGCCUCAAGACAAAACAAAUCAGAUGUCAUCAGUGAGACUGUUUACGCAGGUGGGACCAGUUUGUGUCUGCUCCAGGAAGGGAAGGAAGAGGACUGACGUAAAACUUGUGCCAGUUGGGUUAUAUCGCCAGAGAAGGGAUUACAACUCAGAUGCUUCCAGAGGCCAGACUUUGGAGUCACACAAACCCAGGGUUCUGGUGGAUUCUGGUGAAGAGUAACCGUCUCGCCUGGCAGAAGGGGCAGCUUGCUGCUGCCACGUUUGAUCAGGGAGCAACCCCCACCCCCCCCAUGUUGUCCCGUCCUCCCUAGGUUUUUGAAAGAAGACGGAGACCAGGGUUUUAGGCGAAAUGCGUCCAUUUUUUUAAGAUCGGGGAAAGAAAUAAAAUCGAAUACACUAUUGAACAGGUUUUUGUGCUGAGCCAAACAGAGCAAAUCCUCCAAACUCUGAGGCAAAUGAAGUGGGGAGCCAGGUUUGGUGGGUCUUUCUUCAGCUGAGCGCUGACGUUCAAGGCAGAUAAUAUCUGAGGGGAGUGUG